ensembl:snoRNA
UAGACCAGUGGUGAUGACUGGUGGGGUAGGAAUUGUACACGUGAGUGUUACCUGUCUGUAACUCUGAGUCCAC